ensembl:lncRNA
UGGGACACGAGUAAAUUUAUCCACCCUGGUGGAAAGGCCUCUCUCCCUCUACACUCUCUCCGAAGAAGCCUGACACGUUUCACAAGGAGGAUAAUUUCCUUCCCCACCUUUCUCUUUCUUUUCUUUUUAAUUCGGUUUUAUUUUCAUUUCCCCACCGCCACCACACAGAGCUCACAGCUCUCCUCGGGCAUCCUCCUGCUCCCUCUAUCUCUUUCCGUAAGCCUAUGCCAAGACGAUCACUUCACAGGGACGGUUCUGAUGGCUCUUGAGCUCGGGAAGUGGCCGAAGGGGACAUUUCUGUUCUCCUGGAGGCUGCGGCGAGCUCAGCCCCGCCUGUGUCCCUAUACCGUGUCCGUAUUGCUGUGUCCUGCGCCCAGAGCCGGAGAUGAAAUAAUCAUCAGCGGGAGAGACCUCUCCUUUGGCCACAGUGAAAAUGCGUCCCCCCCCCUCCCACCCAAAUGCCUUCUGUAGAUGUCGCCGAGGUGGGGUAGCCGAGGCUCUCUCGGCGGCCUUAGGACUGGAGGCUCUGCGGCGAAGGGGCCGGGACCAGCCCAGCAGCAGUGUGCAGCCUCAGGGAGCCGAGGGAUCCGGGGUCCGAGCGGCGCCCCGCACUCCCGAGCUCUCCUCUUAGCCGUCACAAAUAGCCCGUGUGCGGCUCCGCGCUGCUCUGAGCCGAAAUCCCCGCAGAGUGAGCGAGCGGAGCCAGAGAGGAAAAUGGAACAGUCGGAGGAGCAGCGCUGCGAUGCUCCUUCGCUCAGGGAGGUGGGCAGCCGCCCUCAGGCUCUGCCCGGAGGUGGGCUCGCCCCAUGCCCCGGACAGGUGUCAUGCACGCGGUGGGGAGGAAAUGAAAGCACACUUUGAGUUCGCCUUCCCCUCCUAGAAGCUCCCGGGGGCUCCCGAGAGGAACUCCAACCAACCUCCAAAGAUUGCUCCCACAACCCAUUUCCCGGGCUACCCAGCUGCAGAAGCAAUAGAAUGGACGGAAAAGAUCACCUGCUUGGCUUUACUACUGGCUAUGGAGAAAAGCGAUUCCUCUCCCUUGUGCCCCAAGCACUCCUCCGUGCUGCUGAGGUCACAUGGCAUUGCAUCCUGCUCAGCCACAGCUUCCAGUGAUGGGCUCAUGUGCAGGUGGACCUCAUCCAACACAUUUCAACAGCUGGAAAUCAUCUCGGUGAAAGAUGGAGCUGUGACAUGUUUGGCUGCACCUUGCUUGGGAAAGAAAGGACAAGACAAGAU